rnacentral:rRNA from 1 species
GGUGGUAAUGCCGGAUGCUCCAGUUGAUCGCAUGGUCUUCUGGGAAAGCUUUCGCGGUAUGGGAUGGGGUCGCGUCCUAUCAGCUUGACGGCGGGGUAACGGCCCACCGUGGCUUCGACGGGUAGCCGGCCUGAGAGGGCGACCGGCCACAUUGGGACUGAGAUACGGCCCAGACUCCUACGGGAGGCAGCAGUGGGGAAUAUUGCACAAUGGGCGCAAGCCUGAUGCAGCGACGCCGCGUGAGGGAUGGAGGCCUUCGGGUUGUAAACCUCUUUUAUCGGGGAGCAAGCGAGAGUGAGUUUACCCGUUGAAUAAGCACCGGCUAACUACGUGCCAGCAGCCGCGGUAAUACGUAGGGUGCAAGCGUUAUCCGGAAUUAUUGGGCGUAAAGGGCUCGUAGGCGGUUCGUCGCGUCCGGUGUGAAAGUCCAUCGCUUAACGGUGGAUCCGCGCCGGGUACGGGCGGGCUUGAGUGCGGUAGGGGAGACUGGAAUUCCCGGUGUAACGGUGGAAUGUGUAGAUAUCGGAAAGAACACCA